GGUUAUAUGUCUGAUUAAAGUAUUGAAUUGUAAACUCAAAAAUGGAUUUUCCUUUAACCA
rnacentral:tRNA from 1 species